rnacentral:rRNA from 1 species
GUAGGGGGCGAGCGUUGUCCGGAAUUAUUGGGCGUAAAGAGCGUGUAGGCGGUUCGGUAAGUCUGCCGUGAAAACCUGGGGCUCAACCCCGGGCGUGCGGUGGAUACUGCCGGGCUAGAGGGUGGUAGAGGCAAGUGGAAUUCCGAGUGUAGCGGUGAAAUGCGCAGAUAUUCGGAGGAACACCAGUAGCGAAGGCGGCUUGCUGGGCCACACCUGACGCUGAGACGCGAAAGCUAGGGGAGCGAACAGGAUUAGAUACCCUGGUAGUCCUAGCCGUAAACGAUGGACACUAGGUGUGGGCGGAGUCGAAUCUGUCCGUGCCGAAGCCAACGCGAUAAGUGUCCCGCCUGGGGAGUACGGCCGCAAGGCUA